rfam:Nectria haematococca mpVI 77-13-4 chromosome 10 genomic scaffold NECHAsca_82_chr10_2_0, whole genome shotgun sequence.
GGUCCUAUUGUUUAGUGGUUAUGACGUCGGAUUUUGAUUACUCUCAAAAAGCCUUCCGAAGACCCCGGUUCGAACCCGGGUAGGACCU